AAAAAGGGUAUCCGAGUCAGGAUUGCGAAUCUGAUAGAUUGGCAAGCCGAGUCGCACUGCGCCUUGGGACCAUCCUCUGCCGCCUCUUGGGGUUUGGCAGGGUGCGAGCUCGCGCCUUUGGAUGGAUCAAUUCCCAUGUGCCCAGUGGGGUAUGGCUUUGCAUAUCCGAGGCUCAAUUUUUGUGUGUGGGGCCAAGACAGCUGCACCUCGUCAAAGGUCCGUAUUGGCAACGGAUCUGUGCGCUGGGCCCC